rnacentral:rRNA from 1 species
CCUACGGGUGGCAGCAGUGGGGAAUAUUGCACAAUGGAGGAAACCCUGAUGCAGCAACGCCGCGUGAGUGAGGAAGUAUUUCGGUAUGGAAAGCUCUAUCAGCAUGGAAUAGAAAAGAAGUUUCCUGAACAAGAAGCCCCGGCUAACUACGUGCCAGCAGCCGCGGUAAUACGUAGGAGGCACGCGUUAUCCGGAUUUACUGGGUGUAAAGGGAGCGUAGACGGAAAGGUAAGUCAGAAGUGAAAGCCUAAGGCUCAACCAUGAGACUGCAUUUGAAACUGUCAAACUAGAGUACGGGAGAGGUGAGAGGAAUUCGUGGUGUAGCGGUGAAAUGCGUAGAUAUUAGGAAGAACUCCAGUGGCGAAGGCGUCUUACUGGACUGAAACUGACGUUGAGGCUCGAAAGCGUGGGGAGCAAACAGGAUUAGAUACCCGAGUAGUC